CCUACGGGUGGCAGCAGUGAGGAAUAUUGGUCAAUGGGCGCGAGCCUGAACCAGCCAAGCCGCGUGAGGGAAGACGGUCCCAUGGAUUGUAAACUUCUUUUGUCGGGGAGCAAAAUCCGCCACGCGAGCCGGUCCGAGAGUACUCGAAGAAAAAGCAUCGGCUAACUCCGUGCCAGCAGCCGCGGUAAUACGGAGGAUGCGAGCGUUAUCCGGAUUUAUUGGGUUUAAAGGGUGCGCAGGCGGAAGAUCAAGUCAGCGGUAAAAUUGAGAGGCUCAACCCCUUCGAGCCGUUGAAACUGGUUGUCUUGAGAGGGUGAGAAGUAUGCGGAAUGCGUGGUGUAGCGGUGAAAUGCAUAGAUAUCGCGCAGAACUCCGAUUGCGAAGGCAGCAUACCGGCGCUCAACUGACGCUGAUGCACGAAAGUGUGGGUAUCGAACAGGAUUAGAUACCCCUGUAGUC
rnacentral:rRNA from 1 species